rnacentral:lncRNA from 1 species
AUAAAAAUAGGUUUUUAUUUCGCGACCGACAUUCGGUCUCUGAUAGCCGCAAUCAAAGGGGCAGCGCCGAGCCGGCACUGGGUGAACGCUGAUCCGAACUCUAUCGCUUCGGAUCUCCUCUGUUCACGAAUGCUGUCUCCCUCCGGUUAGUUUUAUACAGCUUUUUUUCCGCCUGGGGCAGAGGUUCUCCUGUUCUUUUCGUUGCUUCACAUUAUUCAUCGGGUCUCCUUUUCUCUGUGCUGAGCUGGACAAAGCUGUUUCUGAGAAGCGAUAUGAAUGCUGACCGUCAGCUUGGGAUAUAUGCUCCUGACGGCUCUAUCUUGAUCGCAGAUAUUUCUCGAGUAUUCAUCGCUUGGGUGUCUCCUGCAUUGUCCCAGGAAAGGGCCCAUCUCCGCACGAAGCCACGGUUUUUCGUUUGUAAAUUAGGUUUUUCUCCCUGCUGCCAUCUGUGGUUUCGCAAUCUUUCCCGGCUGCGGCUUGUGGUUUUUUUUUUAAACUUUAAGGAUUGUUCGUACAAGCACAACUUAUUUCAUGUAUAUUUUACAUAAGCCCGAAUUAUUCCAUAACAUAUAUUACAGGAUGGAGUUGAGAAUUAGAAGCACAAUAUACUGGAAACAUCAGGGGUAAGAGACCUGCCCCCACUCCCAAUACACAAUACCAGUCGGCUCCCUCCUCCACGUUUUCUCCAUAGGAAGAAACUUCUUUUCCCCCUGCUCCUGGCAAUGCCCAAUGAUGUGAGGUGGGACAGAAUAACCUCCAUAUCCGAGCCAUGCUCCCUCCUGUCAGCUGCAAAAAUUAACACUGCCCCAGCUGGAAUCAGGACAUCAGGAAACAUUACUUACUCAUGACCAUUUUGGAAUUAAGGGCUGCCCAUAAUCACAAAAUUAAUUAGGUUGGAAAAGACCUGUAAGAUCAUAGAAUCGAAACCAUGACCAAACACCAUAUCAACCAGACCAUGGCACUAAGUGCCAGUCUUUAAACACCUCCGGGAACAGUAACUUCUGUUCCAUCCUCUAAUCACCCUUUCAACGAAGAAAUUCCUCCUGAUGUCCAAACUAAACCUCCCUGGUGCAGCUUGAGGCCAUGACCCCUAAAGCUCGCACCAGCUGCCUGGGAGAAGAGCCGACCCCCACCAGGCUACAACCUCCUUUCAA